rnacentral:rRNA from 1 species
CCUACGGGUGGCAGCAGUAGGGAAUCUUCGGCAAUGGACGAAAGUCUGACCGAGCAACGCCGCGUGAGUGAAGAAGGUUUUCGGAUCGUAAAACUCUGUUGGUAGAGAAGAACGUUGGUGAGAGUGGAAAGCUCAUCAAGUGACGGUAACUACCCAGAAAGGGAUGGCUAACUACGUGCCAGCAGCCGCGGUAAUACGUAGGUCCCGAGCGUUGUCCGGAUUUAUUGGGCGUAAAGCGAGCGCAGGUGGUUUAUUAAGUCUGGUGUAAAAGGCAGUGGCUCAACCAUUGUAUGCAUUGGAAACUGGUAGACUUGAGUGCAGGAGAGGAGAGUGGAAUUCCAUGUGUAGCGGUGAAAUGCGUAGAUAUUAGGAGGAACACCGGUGGCGAAGGCGGCCUGCUGGACUGUGACUGACGUUGAGGCCCGAAGGCGUGGGGAGCAAACAGGAUUAGAUACCCGAGUAGUC